UAGGGAAUCUUCCACAAUGGGCGAAAGCCUGAUGGAGCAACGCCGCGUGUGUGAUGAAGGGUUUCGGCUCGUAAAACACUGUUGUAAGAGAAGAAUGACAAUGAGAGUAACUGUUCAAUGUGUGACGGUAUCUUACCAGAAAGGAACGGCUAAAUACGUACCAG
rnacentral:rRNA from 1 species